rnacentral:rRNA from 1 species
AGCAUUAGUAAUAGUGCUUAGCGGCGGACGGGUGAGUAACACGUGGGUAACCUGCCUCAUGCAGGGGGAUAGCCAACCGAAAGGUUGAUUAAUACCGCAUAACCCAGUGAGUAUGCAUAUACUUAUUGGCAAAGGAGAAAUCCGGCAUGAGAUGGACCCGCGGCCCAUUAGCUAGUUGGUGAGAUAACGGCCCACCAAGGCGACGAUGGGUAGCCGAUCUGAGAGGAUGAACGGCCACAUUGGAACUGAGACACGGUCCAGACUCCUACGGGAGGCAGCAGUGGGGAAUAUUGCGCAAUGGGGGAAACCCUGACGCAGCAACGCCGCGUGAGCGAUGAAGGCCUUCGGGUCGUAAAGCUCUGUCUUUAGGGACGAUAAUGACGGUACCUAAGGAGGAAGCCACGGCUAACUACGUGCCAGCAGCCGCGGUAAUACGUAGGUGGCGAGCGUUGUCCGGAAUUACUGGGCGUAAAGGAUGCGUAGGCGGAAUCUUAAGUCAGAUGUGAAAUCCCCGGGCUCAACCCGGGAAUAGCAUUUGAAACUGGGGUUCUAGAGUGCAGGAGAGGAAAGCGGAAUUCCUAGUGUAGCGGUGAAAUGCGUAGAUAUUAGGAAGAACACCAGUGGCGAAGGCGGCUUUCUGGACUGUAACUGACGCUGAGGCAUGAAAGCGUGGGGAGCAAACAGGAUUAGAUACCCUGGUAGUCCACGCUGUAAACGAUGAGUGCUAGGUGUAGGGGAUUUCGACAUCCUCUGUGCCGCAGCAAACGCAAUAAGCACUCCGCCUGGGGAGUACGGUCGCAAGACUAAAACUCAAAGGAAUUGACGGGGGCCCGCACAAGCAGCGGAGCAUGUGGUUUAAUUCGAAGCAACGCGAAGAACCUUACCAGGACUUGACAUCUACCUAAUACUGCAGAGAUGCGGUAGUGCCUUUCGGGGAAAGGUAAGACAGGUGGUGCAUGGUUGUCGUCAGCUCGUGUCGUGAGAUGUUGGGUUAAGUCCCGCAACGAGCGCAACCCUUGUCAUUAGUUGCUAACAUUAAGUUGAGCACUCUAAUGAGACUGCCGGGGACAACUCGGAGGAAGGUGGGGAUGACGUCAAAUCAUCAUGCCCCUUAUGUCCUGGGCUACACACGUGCUACAAUGGGUAGAACAAUAAGAAGCAAGAUGGCAACAUGGAGCAAAUCUUAAAAACUAUUCCCAGUUCGGAUUGAGGGCUGCAACCCGCCCUCAUGAAGCCGGAGUUGCUAGUAAUCGCGAAUCAGCAUGUCGCGGUGAAUACGUUCCCGGGCCUUGUACACACCGCCCGUCACACCAUGAGAGUCUGCAACACCCGAAGCCUGUGAGUUAACUUA